GUGUUUAUUUGAAGUGCCAUGAUUAGGUAUGUGCGAAUAAGUGAAUACUGUCAUGUGGGCCUAUUUACAUGUUCGCUCAUUGAGGGUAAAGUGGGUGUGUGCAGCAGAACCAUUCAAAUGACUUUUAUUACGAAAUAUGUCAAAUUUAAAGAGAUUUUGUUUUCAUUUUCUUUUUGUCAAUCGAAGUUUGUCAGCGACCGCAUCUACAACCAUUUCAGCACCGCGGUCAGCUCUCACUACUAGAACAAAAGACAGAUUUGCUUGCAUCCCUUGAUGUCAGGCACCGUCAAAAAGUGCAUGGCUAAAAUGAAGGACGAAAACAUGUCAAAACCAAAAAUCCCUCUCACAAUCUAUAAUUUACGUCCAAUGUUAAGUAUUAUACGAUUAAGUAAUCGAUAUUGUAUCAUUAUGUUGUCUUAUUCUGCACAGUCAAGAAAAAUUGAGAAUGGAGGAAAUGUCGUCUUAAGACCAGUCCUGGUAGAAUUCUUAGACGCUUCCUAACGGCAGACAUCACGGCUUGUUACAACCUAAGGGAGCAAGCAUAUAGAUCGACAGGGAGGGAGACACCGGUUUACGACGUCAAAGGCAACGGAAUACACAGACGGAGAGCCAGCCAACGCGGGAGCGAGCGGCAGCAAUAGUCUACCAUUUCCUGUGUUGGAUCAUAGGGAGCCGUUUAUUAUAACCACAAACCGCUUGAAAAAUCCAGAAGCGGUUGUCAUUUUUUUCGAAAAUCCAAAUUUGUGUGUAUUUAGAGUGGGAAACCGGAUUUGUAUACAAAUAACACAAACAAAACUACGAGAUAAAGCAUCACACGCUCAUGUUUAUGGAUAAAGGACGUCGCCGCUUGGAUUUGUUAGGUGCGCUCUUUUGGGGGUAACUUGUCAAGGCACGGAUUCAGAGGGGUCCUGCAUUAGACAAAUUAAUUGAACAGGAGAAUAGACAGAAACCGAAAAUAAACCCUAUUUGACAAGGGACAGAGGAGAACGGGUGAUUCUGCUCUCAACUAACCGCGAGACGAAGGAGAGAGGAUCACGGAGGAAUAGACCGAGUUGAAACCUUUGCCCGUCAUCUCCACAUCGUCCGAAGAUCUAUAGGUCCUCCCCGCUCCUUCUGACCGUAAUUCCAGUGUCCAUCCUCGGUGCGCACAUCCCCGCAUCCACACCGUCUCAAUGAAGGAGGCCGACGCAAUCAAGCUCUUCAUUGGGCAGAUACCCCGGAAUCUUGAGGAGAAGGACUUGAAACCGAUCUUCGAACAGUUCGGGAAAAUCUAUGAGUUGACAGUGAUAAAGGACAAAUACACGGGGAUGCACAAAGGCUGUGCCUUCCUGACAUACUGCGAACGAGAGUCUGCCCUCAAGGCCCAGAAUGCACUGCACGAGCAGAAGACGCUACCAGGGAUGAACCGGCCCAUUCAAGUGAAGCCAGCAGACAGCGAGGGCAGAGGGGAAGACAGGAAGCUGUUUGUGGGCAUGCUGGGGAAGCAGCAGUCUGAUGCGGACGUGAGGAAGAUGUUUGAGGCGUUUGGGAACAUUGAAGAGUGCACUGUGCUCCGCGGCCCUGACGGCACUAGCAAAGGCUGUGCCUUUGUGAAGUACCAGAACAACGCAGAGGCUGCGGCAGCCAUCAGCACUCUGCAUGGGAGCCGCACUCUACCGGGUGCCUCUUCCAGCCUGGUGGUGAAGUUCGCCGACUCUGAGAAGGAGCGAGGGAUAAGGCGCAUGCAGCAGGUGGCGUCCCAGCUGGGGGUCAUCAGUCCCAUGACCUUGCACCUCGGGGCUUACAAUGCCUACACACAGGCACUGGUGCAGCAGCAGGCUCUGGUGGCCCAGUCGGCGUACUUGUCACCUGUGUCCACCAUCACCAUGCAGCAGUUGGCUGCCCUCAACCCGAGCAGCCUCAUUGCCACGCCCAUCACAUCACUCACUACAUCCUCAGGUACCAGCACUCCGCCCACCAUGGCAGCCACACCGGUGCCUGCUCUGCCUCCACCACUCAGCUACCCUCCAGUCCCAGCUCCACCCAAUGGACAGUCAGCGUCUGAAACCCUGUACACCAAUGGAGUUCAUUCUUACCAAGCUCAAACUCCAGUUUUGGAUCCUCUUCAGCAAGCGUACGCAGGGAUGCAGCACUACACAGGUGGGACAGUAGUGAGUCCAUUUGAGUCCUUAAAAUUUCCUGGAGGGAAUUUUAGGUUUGAAAUGCCCUCGCAACAGUCCUUAAUGUUUACUUAUGCGAACACACCCACAGCAACUUACCCUUCUGCCUAUGGAAUGGUGGGGCAGCCAUUCCCACACCAACACACAAUGGUUGCGCAGCAACAUCAGCAGCCUCAGCAACUGCAGCAACGAGAAGGGCCCGAGGGGUGUAACAUCUUCAUCUAUCACCUGCCUCAGGAGUUCUCUGACUCUGAGAUGCUGCAAAUGUUCGUCCCCUUCGGCAACGUCAUCUCAGCGAAGGUCUUUGUUGACCGCGCCACCAAUCAGAGCAAGUGCUUUGGUUUUGUGAGUUUUGACAACCCGUCCAGUGCUCAGACGGCAAUUCAGGCCAUGAAUGGUUUCCAGAUUGGCAUGAAGAGGCUCAAGGUGCAGCUCAAGAGGCCCAAGGAUGCCAACCGACCCUACUAAAUGAGCAAGGGAGAUGAGAAGACUGUCCUGUCCAUACAUAUAUCGUGGAGACUACGUCGCUAUGGUUGCCUAGCAACCGCUAAAAACCCCUUCCUCUCACAGCGUUGGAAGAUAUAAGAGUUCUAUCAAGAAACUGCUUGGGACGUUCCAGCCUUUUGGUUGUUUCGCCAACCGUAUAGCACAGGAGCAACAACACUUCUCAGAAAAUAUGAUAAAUAUAUGUAUCUGCAACAAUAACAAAAAAUCUGUAACAACAAAAUAACAAACGUGUGGUGGGUGGUUGAGUACACAUACCAUUCCACAGCUGGAUUCAGUCAUAUUAUGUACAUACUGUAUUGUCAGCUACAAGGUCUACAUGAAAAAGCAUAUCACUUAUUCUAAUGAACAGGGUUUUACUGUAUAGUGUGGUUUGUGGUCCAUAACGUAAGGGGGAAGGGCAAUGUAUGGGGUUGAAGAAGUGGGACGGUAACCUUAUCGGGGGGGGGAAAUAAUAUUCUGUAUGAUUACCAUUGGUCGAAUUAGUAUGUAGAUUUAGUUUAUUAUUUAAAAGUAAAUGAAAGAAGGGGUUUCUAUCCUUGCAACAGGAAGAAAAUCAACUUCUUCUCACUGUACAUAUCUUUGUUUUAAAUGGAGUCAAAUAAUGAAAAUGUGUUAUUAUAACCACUACUACUGGUAUUGGCAUAAUGGUUGGAGGGAGGGUAAUUGGGUGGAAUUUUUGUAUCUACAUUUUUUACAUUUAAUUUAUUUGUUAAUGGCGAUUUGUUUUAUUUUAUUUUAGAAAAUAGAAGAUUCCUGUGGUCUACAAGACUAUGGGUAAACUUAUUGUAGAAUGUUUAAUUACAUAAAUGUAAUUAUCAAAAAAUCAUUGUUUAAUUAUUUAUUCCCUACAAUUGCUGUUUUAAAACAUGUCUUUAAGAAAAAUAAAGUAAAAUUUAGAAAAG